GACGAACGCUGGCGGCGUGCUUAACACAUGCAAGUCGAACGAUGAAGCGGGUGCUUGCACUCGUGGAUUAGUGGCGAACGGGCGAGUAACACGUGAGUAACCUGUCCUUUUCUUUGGGAUAACGGCUGGAAACGGCUGCUAAUACUGGAUAUUCAGGCUGCAUCGCAUGGUGUGGUUUGGAAAGGUUUUUUCUGGGAUUGGGUGGGCUCGCGGCCUAUCAGCUUGUUGGUGGGGUGAUGGCUUACCAAGGCUUUGACGGGUAGCCGGCCUGAGAGGGUGGUCGGUCGCACUGGGACUGAGAUACGGCCCAGACUCCUACGGGAGGCAGCAGUGGGGAAUAUUGCACAAUGGACGAAAGUUUGAUGCAGCGACGCCGCGUGGAGGGUGUAGGCCUUCGGGUUGUGAACUCCUUUUUCUCGCGAAAAAGGCACAGUUUUGGCUGUGUUGAUGGUAGUGGGGGAAGAAGCGCCGGCUAACUACGG
rnacentral:rRNA from 1 species